rnacentral:snoRNA from 1 species
UGAUGAUUCCUCUCAGCGGGUUUCUGAGACGAUGCUGAGGCUCCAUAAUUCUGGCUGAUA